CUGCGAUUGGUGCUGCCUGGCGGCGGGGCGCGGGGCACGCUGGGACGUCUCGCUGGCGGGAGGCCACGGGCUUUCCACAGCGCGGGGGAACGAGAGGCUGCAGGAUGGUCAAGCUGACGGCGGAGCUGAUCGAGCAGGCGGCGCAGUACACUAACGCGGUGCGCGACCGGGAGCUGGACCUCCGGGGGUAUAAAAUUCCCGUCAUUGAAAAUCUAGGUGCUACUUUAGACCAGUUUGAUGCUAUUGAUUUUUCUGACAAUGAGAUCAGGAAACUGGAUGGUUUUCCUUUGUUGAGAAGACUGAAAACAUUGUUAGUGAACAACAACAGAAUAUGCCGUAUAGGUGAGGGACUUGAUCAGGCUCUGCCCUGUCUGACAGAACUCAUUCUCACCAAUAAUAGUCUCGUGGAACUGGGUGAUCUGGACCCUCUGGCAUCUCUCAAAUCGCUGACUUACCUAAGUAUCCUAAGAAAUCCGGUAACCAAUAAGAAGCAUUACAGAUUGUAUGUGAUUUAUAAAGUUCCGCAAGUCAGAGUACUGGAUUUCCAGAAAGUGAAACUAAAAGUAAGUAGUAAUCUGCUGCUUGUGAGUCAUUAUAGAGUUGUGUGUUUUUCUUUAUAUUUUUAUUACUGAUUAUUAAAAUUGUCUAAAUGAGUAAAUUUUACCAUUAGUUUGUAAUAAAAGUGGGAGAGAAAAUGGUACAUCAGAUUUUUUUCUAAUAGCAGAGUUUAUGAUAGAACUUUUAAGUUGGAGCUCUUUUAUGUAAUGCUGGCUAUUCCAAAGUUUGCAAAAUGUUGAGGCCACGGUGAACAUUCUUAACAGUGGAUUGUCUGCUUGGAUACAUUCCCAGUGGAGAAUUUAAUGUAACCCACUUUUGUGCAGCUCUGUUUGUUAGAAUGAUUUUUCCGUUUAUUAGGAAUUCAUUAUUUUAUCAUUCAUUUAAUUGCCUUCUUGGUUCCCUGGGAUCCCCUCCUUGGAACUAGGAGAAUGAACUUUCUUCAGGGAGCUUUACCAAAGAAAGAAGACUACUGUGUCUUCUCUUAAUUUGAAAUUGCUUUUUGGUAUUUUCACCAGCCCGGAGUAUUGUAGGAGAGUUCGCUUCCAUGUCUUCUGAGGAAUGCAUCUAAAUGCAUGUGGUAUUCCUAUUUCCAUUAACUCUGUGUGUGGUGUCGCUGUAGGAGCGUCAGGAAGCAGAGAAAAUGUUCAAGGGCAAACGGGGUGCACAGCUUGCAAAGGAUAUUGCCAGGAGAAGCAAAACGUAAGACACGGAUAUCCAACUUAACUCUUCUUCACCUUCAGAAACAUGAUCUGAUCUGUCUGGCAGUUCGUCUCCUACAAAAUUAACCAAAAACUGUGACAUAUUAAUGUGGUAUUAAAUUUGAGUGCUUAUAGUCCAUGUACAUCAAUGGUCCAUACAUCACAAGAAAUUUCUACCAGCUUAGCAGAGCAAAUAUUUCAGUAGUCAGUCUUCAUGUGAUACCAUGUACAUCCUAUUUUCUAUAUAGGAAGAUGAACUGGAUGGUGUUUCUGAAGGAGAGAGUUCUUGUAUCAGUUUGUUAACAAAGAUAAGAUACUACACUGGUUGAAUUACUUUCAAAAGCUUUUGAAAGUAAAAGAGAAGCAACUUCUGUUGGUCUAGGUUUAACAGUUAUGUUCUUCCCCCUGUUAAGUUUUAAUCCAGGUGCUGGUUUGCCAACUGACAAAAAGAAAGGUGGGCCAUCUCCAGGGGAUGUAGAAGCAAUCAAGAACGCUAUAGCAAAUGCUUCAACUCUGGCUGAAGUGGAGAGGCUGAAGGGGUUGCUGCAGUCUGGUCAGAUCCCUGGCAGAGAACGCAGAUCGGGGCCCACUGAUGAUGGUGAAGAAGAGAUGGAAGAAGACACAGUCACAAACGGGUCCUGAGCAGUGAGGCAGAUGUAUAAUAAUAGGCCCUCUUGGAACAAGUCUUGCUUUUCGAACAUGGUAUAAUAGCCUUGUUUGUGUUAGCAAAGUGGAAUCUAUCAGCAUUGUUGAAAUGCUUAAGACUGCUGCUGAUAAUUUUGUAAUAUAAGUUUUGAAAUCUAAAUGUCAGUUUUCUACAAAUUAUAAAAAUAAACUCCACUCACUGUGCUA
rnacentral:sRNA from 1 species